rnacentral:lncRNA from 1 species
CUCUGUAAAGCAAAGUGCCAGACCCAUUCUAACUGCAGUACAAAGGGAAAUUUGGAUGUGAUUGAGAUCAUCUGACUACAGAUGCCAGAACAGUUGUAUUAUAUAAUGCAUGUGAGCACAGCUGCUUCCUUAUCACAGGACUCGAGAGGGAUGCAUCCCACGUCAAAGGGCAGAGCUGCCUUCCCUCCUGCUUCCCAAUCAAUCCCCUGCAUGGGGUACUUUAAAUGGGCCACUGACAGCACAGAGACUGCCCAGAGCAUGGGACACAAGGACCAGGUACCCAACCACCCCUCCCUGAAUGCUGUUUUCCACACGCAGCAGGUUUUGAAGCUCUGAAUGCUCCUGGGCACUGAGAACAAUGUGAGGUGGAGACUGUCGAAUAAUGUCUGAGCAAGUGGGAGCUCAGGCAGGACAACACUCUGUUACGUGAUAUUUUGGGAACAUUUUGAGGAAAUGCAGCAGUCCAAGGGCCUAGAGCCAGACACUUCCUUUUUGCCCAGGCAGUCCAUAUUGCCAGGGCACCCAUUAGGUGUCCUGGAAGGACUGAAGCUUGGCCCCAAGUGAUCUGCUUCUGCAAGCACAGCUCUUGGACUGGCUGAGCCAUCCUGCUGCCUGGCUUUGAGUCCCACGUGCUCCUGGCCAAGCCAGGGAGAGCAGCUCUGGGGACUUCAGGAAUCAUGUCCCUGAUACAAACCUUACAAAAGCAAAGCUCCUCUCUCUUGUCUCUCCAUUCCAGCUGGAAACCUCCUGACACCACAUCCAGAAAUGUACCUGCAGUGAAGUAAAACCAGAUGAAAGUGGACCCUAAGUGUAACUGAAUAUUAAGAACCAGACUGUGCUUCCCCACUGUGUUAACAACUGUGACUGACUACCCAAAAGAGGGAAAAUAUAAAUCAAUCCCACCUGGAACUCACCUAGAGUUUGCCCCUGGGAAGAUCAGCAUCAAUGAAGGUAACACAGAAAGUUUGAAUUUGUGAAAAUAUUCUGAUAUAUAGUCCUCAUUUUGUCUCAGGCUACUUCACACUAUUCCGGUGUCCUGCAUUAAACAGACCUCACAUUCAAAAUACACAUGGUGGGAAUGCCACAAAAUUUUCAUUAGAAACUUUGAUGUAGAGUUUAACACAAAAUAGUACCAGCUGAGCAUGCUACAGGAUCACAGACGUCCUGGAGGAAAGUACACAAAACCCCAUUUUGUUGGAAACAGCUUUACACCUUGUACUAAGGAGGUCAGCGGGCUGAGAACCAAGGUGCUCUACUCUGGUUUGUUUGCCAUGGAGAGAGCCUUGGGCAAACUCUUUUCCCUCUCUCUUUCUCAGUGCAUGUGUUCCUGUGUGUGAUUGGCAUUAAAAAGACACAGUGGGAAUUUCUGAGACUCGUAGCAUGCCUUGAAACACUCAAAAAACCACCACUAUUGCAGUUCUGACUUCCAAUAGCCCAUCAUGAGAAAAUUACCAUAUAUUAUAAUCAAAGCCAUAGAGCUGCUAAAGACGACGUGUAUUGUAAUAGAUGAGCAGGAAUUUCAACAGCCUGAGCCAGCAAGGGAAACUCUUUUCCCACUGACAUGGCCUCCAGCGAUGUACGGAUGCGGCCCUUUGUUUUCUCCAGAGCAAUGGUGACAUUUUAGAUCAUCUGUUGUGCUAUAAAUGGAAUCCUGUGAUCUGCUGAACAUUUGCUACCUGGAAGGCCAUUUCCUGCUGCCUGAGUCGUUAACUUCCUUGGAUGACAUUGCCACAUCUGUAACAAAAUGAUGUAAAGUGCUGCUAAUUUACAAGGCUGCUGUAGUGCUGAUAUUUUAAACUGCUUGGGUGUGAAUAGCAAAGGCUGGCUGGUGUUUGAAAUCCCUGCAGCACUAUUAGCUCACUGUGGGUGAUAUUUGAAAUACUUGUCUCUGAACUGGAGGAACAUGGAUUUGACAGAUGGAACACUCAGUGGAUCAGGAAUUGGCUGGAUGGUUUCACACUAAGAGCUGUGGUCAAUGGCUUGAUAUCCACAGGAAAGGAGCAACAAGUGGUGUUUCAUCAGGGGUCAGUUCUGGGACUGGCACUCUUUGACAUCUUUGUUAAAAUACACACAAGUUCUGCUAUACUGAUUUUACAACUAUAGCUAUUAAAUUAUUCAAAUCUAAACAAGAGACAUGCCAGACUGUCAAAACACUCAAGAAGAAGCUUUUUUCAAGUUCAAGUCUGUAGCUACAUUUCCUCCAUGUAGGCUGACAAUCAAUAAACACAAGAACAAGAAAUCA